ACUCCUACGGGAGGCAGCAGUGAGGAAUCUUCCACAAUGGGCGAAAGCCUGAUGGAGCAACGCCGCGUGCAGGAUGAAGGCCUUCGGGUUGUAAACUGCUUUUAUUUGUGAAGAAUAUGACGGUAACAAAGAAUA
rnacentral:rRNA from 1 species